rnacentral:rRNA from 1 species
UACGUGGGGGGCAAGCGUUGUUCGGAAUUACUGGGCGUAAAGGGCUCGUAGGCGGCCAACUAAGUCAGACGUGAAAUCCCUCGGCUUAACCGUGGAACUGCAUCUGAUACUGGAUGGCUUGAGGUUGGGAGAGGGAUGCGGAAUUCCAGGUGUAGCGGUGAAAUGCGUAGAUAUCUGGAGGAACACCGGUGGCGAAGGCGGCAUCCUGGACCAAUUCUGACGCUGAGGAGCGAAAGCCAGGGGAGCAAACGGG